GAGUGGUGACUGACGUGUAUGGGUGCGUUGGAUCCCUGCUUGGGCACCGACGGCGUACCUUGCUCGUCUCUUCAGUUGUUGGCACAGGCGCGCUGAGCCUUGGGCCGAAUGAUGUUUUCCUGUGCUACAUACCCGCUGCGAGGGUACUGGAUUUGAUCAAUUGCAGCAUGCGUUCGCUUCUUGCUGCCGUCCCCUUGGAUCUUGGCAUGGAGCGAACGUCGUGGUAUUGAUUGUGUUCCACUCUCCUUGCGCGCCCGCGCUUGGGUUGUUGGGCCACGAUCCUUGCUCGAUCUCUUGGUCGCGGAAUACCUCGUGGGCAUGAGGCAGCACUAGUCUCUAUUCGCCCCUCAUCGAGCGUUUGACGCUACGCGCGAAUGACAGUUGCGGUCGUUUUGGCUAGGCCUCUAUGGCUUGGCUCAUGCGGUCCCAACGUCGACGAGGAAUGCUACCUGGUUGAUCCUGCCAGUAGUCAUAUGCUUGUCUCAAAGAUUAA
rnacentral:misc_RNA from 1 species